GGAGUUGGCAUCUCUCCCUAAAACUCAGCGAUACAAGAGGAACGGCCCGUCGUGAAGCUAAACCAACAUGAACGUUAAAUUUAUUCUGGUUUUUACACUUGUCUUUCUCGCAACUUAUUUCGUAGGAGAAAAUGAAGCCUUCACCGCUGGUGGAGGGGGGAAUCUUCCUAAUGGAGGAAGAAAGCGUGACUUAGCGGAGUCUCACCAACUGGCCGGGAGAGCCUUGUGUGCAGCUGCUAGGGAACACUGCAAGCGGGAAUUGAUUUUGGAGGACAUCAGUGAAUGAGGAGGCCUUGGCGAACUGGACUGAACGCAAACUUCCUAUUGUAUCUUGUGACUAUUGUAAAAUCGCCCAUUAAUUAAUAAAGAGUGAAAUAAGUAAUCUUUAA